AGCCACAUUUUUAUCUCCUGAGAUUCUUGAAUUUAGUGUCCCCGGUCGCUUUCUUCUGAAUCAGGACUCUGCCUAAACGAGUGCGGACACAGAGAGCAUGGAAAUAAAAUGAUAGGCUGGCGGGUGGGCAAGGGGAUGCAGGUCGGCUUGUUGACCCUGCAAUGGCCCUGCCUCCCAGCCCCGUACAGCCUGCUGCUAAUUCUCUCUGACUGAAACAGCCGUGACACCACACCCAAAGGAUGGAGGCGAGGAUAAAUGAGUCUGCGUGCUGUGUCUUUAAUGCUGUAACAAGCCACUAAACAUGUUGGUCGUUACAACUGCAGAUACACAGCUCCUACCUGAUGGCAGAUUAUCUACAAUGUAACUCUCCUCUCGGAUGGACAGGGAGAGACCCGGACUGAGUCUCGAAGCAUGGCUACUGCUUCAGAGAGAAGAGUCACUUCAAAUUGUGAUGCCCGUGGCAGAAGCAUGUCACCAGCACUUUCCCUCAGGCCUGGGAGGGAAGCCACACAGGAAGGCCAACCGUUAUCUCUCUGCUGUCCACACUGGUAUUAGAGUGUGCUGACGUGAGCAGCACCAGCUUGAUCAAAGGACAGCCACUUCUUUGCUCUUCGUCUGUUUCUUCAGCCAUUACUUUCCACUCGACUCCAGCCCGCGAUAAAUGGUCACAAACGAGGAAAGCCGGUUCCUUCUGCACACGUUCCGUAUCUUUUAAGUCAACCUUCUUCUUUGGACCUUGUCAAGAACUUUGUGUAUUCAAUUUGGGAAUUCAUGCACUAAUUAAGGCAUACUCCAUUGUGGUGGUAUUGUGUUCCCCAAAAUAUUGUGUACCUUAAUAAAUUUA